rnacentral:antisense_RNA from 19 species
AUAGAGCAACAGCUUCUAUACAGUUUAAGUAGGCCCCGUUAAUCUUCUUCAGUCGCCAAACUAGGUGAAGAUUAUCGGGGUUUUUGCUU